UGAGCUGUACUGCAGAUACAUCUUCUGCAAACAAAGGCUUCAUUUUCAAAUGCAUCCCACACCAGAGCAGAGCAGAUUUUAAAAACAAAAUUCAUUGCCAGUGCUCCAUACUACACCAAAGAAUCCAUCCCCCAUCUCCGAAUUUCCUAUGUGUUGUGAUUUAUUCCCAGAUGGCCUUUUUGGUACAACUGCUCAGGAAACUUUGGAAAACACAAAAUUUUCAAGAGCUCAAGCAACUGCAAAAAAAGAGGGCUGUGAUGGACCUGCUGAAUGUGAAGUCAGGGAGAGAAAGGAGCUCCCUGGGAGCCUGGGGAGAGGACAGAGAGAUGCGUCUCUGCUGGACUGGAACAAGCUGGACCAUCUUUCUACAAGAGAUUUGAAAACUGAGUUUAGGCAGCUACAUUCGGCUAUUCUUCGUCAUUACAUUAAACCAAAAAGCAUCCG